rnacentral:rRNA from 1 species
CAGCAGCCACGGUAAUACGAAGGGGGCUAGCGUUGUUCGGAAUCACUGGGCGUAAAGGGUGCGUAGGCGGAUUCUUAAGUCAGGGGUGAAAUCCCGAGGCUCAACCUCGGAACUGCCUUUGAUACUGGGGAUCUUGAGUCCGGAAGAGGUGAGUGGAACUGCGAGUGUAGAGGUGAAAUUCGUAGAUAUUCGCAAGAACACCAGUGGCGAAGGCGGCUCACUGGUCCGGAACUGACGCUGAGGCACGACAGCGUGGGGAGCAAACAGGAUUAGAUACCCCAGUAGUCCCUGUCUCUUAUAC